rnacentral:rRNA from 1 species
GACCUCAGUUCAGGUGAGAUUACCGGCUGAAUUUAAGCAUAUUACUAAGCCGAGGAAAAGAAACUAACAAGGAUUCCCCUAGUAGCAGCGAGCGAACAGGGAAGAGCCCAGCGCUGAAUCCCCCGGGCCUCGCUCGGCGGGAAAUGUAGCGUUUGGGAGGGCCCGUCAACACGGCGACUCGCUCACUGGUUCAAGUCCAACUUGAAUGGGGCCACACAGAGGGUGACAGGCCCGUAGAGCAGGAGCGGUUGUCGUGUGGGUCUCUCCUUAGAGUCGGUUUGCUUGAGAGUGCAGACUUAAGUGGGUGGUAAACUCCAUCUAAGGCUAAAUAUGACCACGAGACCGAUAGCACACAAGUACCGUGAGGGAAAGGUGAAAAGAACUUUGAAGAGAGAGUUCAAGAGUACGUGAAACUGAAGUGGUGUAAACGGACGAGUUCGAAAAGUCCGAAUGGUGAGAUUCAAGCUUACCGUGCCGGUGGCCCUCGGGUUCAGAUGGCGUCGUCAGCUCGGGCUUCGGUUCGGGUCAUACGGCGUCACUCGUCCUGGGGGUAUCUGUCUGGUGCGGUGGGCUGCACUUCUCGCCUAGUAGGACGUCGCGACCCGUUGGGAUGUUCCGUUCACUGGCCCUCGGUGGAGCCCGCGCCGGAGCGUGGCCUUGUGCCGCGUUGCUGUUUGCACGGACCCGGGGUGACCUGAUCGGCGCCCGACGGUAUCAAAGCUUGGGAAGAGGCCGCACAGAGGAUGCGUUCGAUGGCCGUUUCGGCCUACACUCGGACAGGCCUGCA